AGGAGGAUAGCUUAAAGGUAUUAAAGCUUUGGUCUCCAAAACCAAAGAUAAGGGUUCAAAUCCCUUUCCUCUUG
rnacentral:tRNA from 1 species